rnacentral:lncRNA from 1 species
CCAAAUGUCAUUGCAUUAAACAUGCCAAUAACCCUAAGACGAUUUCAUUUUCUCUGGCACAACGCAUAGCAUUGUUUGUUUUCCAUUUUUCACUGGAAACUCAAUCUCAGUCUCCAUCAAUUAAAGAUCAGAAGCAAAUAAUUCAUGGGAUUGUAUUUGAAACAAAUUAGAUUGAAGAACUUUUGUUGGUGUCGAUUGCAAAUCAGGAAGAAAGUUGAGAAAUUGGAAGCUGUUAAUAGAAAUACGAAGGUAAGAUUCAACACAUCCCUGUAUCUAUUGUUCAUAUUUCUUCAUUAUUAAUAGAAAAUAUACAUAUUUACAUAUAAUAACUUACCUAUUGAAUAUGCAGGAAUAAUUUCUUUGAAGAUGAUAGGCAAAACACGUUCUCCUCAAAACGAAAAUGAAUAUUGGGUGUAUCUGAAAUGAUCAGGUACUUUGAAGAGUAAAUUACACGAAUGGUCACUAUGGUUAGGGUAAUUUGCAAGUUUGAUUCCUAACUUAAUUUUUUAACUCGGAAGGUCCUUACUGUUUUGUUUUUGUUACGCACUUGGUCCCUGUCUUACCUAAAAAGACUAUUUUGCCCUUGAUUUUUAAAUAUUUUUUAAAUAAACACACCCCAACCCUACCCACCUCUCAUUACCUUACCUACCUCACCAUUUUUUCCUAUUUAAAUAAUAGUCUUUUUAAGUAAGAUAGGGACCAAGCGUGUAACAAACACAAACAGUAGGGACCUUCCGAGUUAAAAAAAUAAGUUAGAGAUCAAGCGUGCAAAUUACCCCAAACCAUAGGGACCAUUCGUGUAAUUUACUCUACUUUGAAAGCUUUCAGCAAAUAUAAUUGUUCAAUUUUGAAAAUCGAAAAUGCUAAAUUAGGAGAUGAAUCUUGAUCAUAUAUAUUCAAAAUUAAAUAGAUUUUUUUUUUCAUUAUUUACCUUCCUUACACAGAGAAACAAUCACAACCCUUGUGGAAAUCAUCUUAAAUUGUGUAUGAAACGGAAAUUUUGAUUUUAUAUAUAUGAGCUUCGAAUCGUUUUUUUUUUCUAAAGUUUCUGGGCAAAACAUAUUGAGAUAAAAUAAACAUUGAUGGAUGUUUGUCUGGGGUUAGCAUGCUAUUCAAAAGAAAAAUAGAAUUGCUACCCUAUAAUCAUUUGAACAAACCAUGUCUCUUAUGUAUAGAGUUGACCACUGCAUAUUUUAGUUGUACAUUUAAUAGAGUAAAUUGUUAUGAACAAUUUUAGGUGAUUUUUUAGAUCUAGGAUGUGAAAGUAUUUCGGUCUCUUCUUUCUUUUAUAUAUCAAAUUUGAAGAUGGAUCUAUAACAGCAUAAAAGUGUCAUAUAGCCAUGCUGGAAAUGACUGCAAUUUCAUGAUAUCAACCCUUACAAUUAUGCAAUUACCAUACAUAUUUUAUUAAGAUAUAAAGUUGAAUAUUUCGACUGUUACUUGAAUUUUUAGUUCAACAUCAUUUAUAUUUUGAAGGUUUAGUUUAAGUGCUUUAUUUAUAUUACAAUUUUGGUUUAUUUAUGCAAGAUUCUAAAUUUACAUAAGCAUAUUCCUACGAUUUACAUGUAUAUCAUGAUCAACC